rnacentral:rRNA from 1 species
AGAGCGAACGCUGGCGGCAGGCCUAAUACAUGCAAGUCGAGCGGUCCCUUCGGGGGGCAGCGGCGGACGGGUGAGUAACGCGUGGGAACGUGCCCUUUGGUACGGAACAACUGAGGGAAACUUCAGCUAAUACCGUAUGUGCCCUUCGGGGGAAAGAUUUAUCGCCAUUGGAGCGGCCCGCGUUGGAUUAGGUGGUUGGUGAGGUAAAGGCUCACCAAGCCUACGAUCCAUAGCUGGCUGAGAGGAUGAUCAGCCACACUGGGACUGAGACACGGCCCAGACUCCUACGGGAGGCAGCAGUAGGGAAUCUUGCGCAAUGGGCGAAAGCCUGACGCAGCCAUGCGCGUGAAUGAUGAAGGUCUUAGGAUUGUAAAAUUCUUUCACCGGGGACGAUAAUGACGGUACCCGGAGAAGAAGCCCCGCUAACUUCGUGCCAGCAGCCGC